rnacentral:rRNA from 1 species
UUGGACCUGAUAUCAGNCAAGCAC